GACGAACGCUGGCGGCGUGCUUAACACAUGCAAGUCGAACGGAAAGGCCCUGCUUUUGUGGGGUGCUCGAGUGGCGAACGGGGGAGUAACACGUGAGUAACCUGCCCUUGACUUUGUGAUAUCUUCAGGAAACUGGGGCUAAUACCGGAUAGAAGCUCCUGAUGCAUGGUGGGGGAUGGUAAGUUUCGGCGGUUGGGGAUGGACUGGCGGCUUAUCAGCUUGUUGGUGGGGUAGUGGAUUACGAAGGUUUUGACGGGUAGCCGGCCUGAGAGGGUGACCGGCGACAUUGGGACUGAGAUACGGCGCAGACUCCUACGGGAGGCAGCAGUGGGGAAUAUUGCACAAUGGGCGGAAGCCUGAUGCAGCGACGCCGCGUGCGGGAUGACGGCCUUCGGGUUGUGAACCGCUUUCGCCUGUGACGAAGCGUGAGUGACGGUAAUGGGUAAAGAAGCACCGGCUAACUACGUG
rnacentral:rRNA from 1 species